AUAUUUACCUGGCAGGGGAGAUAUGAUCACGAAGGUGGUUUUCCCAGGGCAGGGUGUAUUCAUUGCACUCCAGAUGUGCUGACCGCUAUGAUUUCCCCUGGUUACAUUUUUUUUUUAAUUUAAGUUAUUUUAAAAAUAUAAAAAACAAGUUUUGAC